rnacentral:tRNA from 1 species
GCCUUCGUAGUGUAGUGGUCAGCACGCUCGACGCAUAACCGAGAGGUCCGUGGUUCGAUUCCCGGCGAAGGCG